GAAGAAGUAAACCUUUUAUUAAAUGCAGAUGCUAUACUUUUAUAAACAGAAAAUCUUUAGAAAAUACAUACAGAUAAAUUUUAGGAUCGAUAAAGAAGGUUAGCAAAGUCAUGUCAUACAAGGUCUAUAUACAAAAGUGUUUCUAUGAUAACAGAAAAGCAAAAACAAAUGAAAGACACAAAAGAAAAGGAAAUAGCUACCACUCCAGUACUCUUGCCUGGAGAAUCCCAUGGGCGGAGGAGCCUGGUGGGCUAGGCGCCCAUGGGGUCGCUAAGAGUCGGACACGACUGAGCGACUUCACUUUCACUUUUCACUUUCAUGCAUUGGAGAAGGAAAUGGCAACCCACUCCAGGGUUCUUGCCUGGAGAAUCCCAGGGACAGGGGAGCCUGGUGGGCUGCCGUCUAUGGGGUCGCACAGAGUCAGACAUGACUGAAGCGACUUAGCAGCAGCUGCAGCAGACACAAAUAAAUACAUAUUAUAGAAUCCCAGUUUGUUAAUAGUUCAAAAAGCAAAAAUGCCCAAAGUGUAUUAUCAGAAGUCAUGGUAAUUACUUUUAGGAAGGCUGCAGGGGCACGACAGGUCCUUAUAGAGAGCUGACAACACUGUUUCUUGGUCUACAUGGUAGUCACACAGAUGUUCACUUCAUGAUAUAAUUGAGUUGUACCUUUGUUAUUUUCACUUCACAUCUCCUUCACGAAGAGGACCCUGCUGUUGCCUCCGGCCAGAAGGUGAGCACAGAAGAGACAUGCUUGCACAGGACUGCCGCACAGGGGUGAGGUGACCGGGCUCCUGGCCGCCUUCCCGGAGCUUUAGGGAAGAGAGGACCAGGAGACACUCUGCCAGCCUUCUGCGGGACGCGCUCAGGGAGUGAGAGCCGGUCUCCUCGCAGGUGUUGCCCUGGGAUAAAUACGGGGCAUCCUUGAUUGCAGGUGUGCAGGGUUGUCAAUCACCAUCAGUCAUGGGCUCACAGAAAUGAGCAGAGUUUCUCAGAGAAAUGGUAUCUCGUUUCCCUAACCCCUCUGGCAGUUCUGCACGAAGGCAGAUAUUGGCCUUACCAUAGAAGCCUGCAGUUACAGGGCUUAGACAAGAAUGUGGGUCCUUUCUGCUGUGGUCACUCAGCUGAGAAAUAAGCUUUCUGGGCUUGCAGGCUUCUUCACAUUAGAGACUUCAACAGCAGAAAGAUGACUUUCUGCUUUUGGGGUGGUGGCGUGUCCUGGGCAGGCUGCCGGUUCCUUCUUCGAUUAUGAUUUUUCUUUAGAGGAGCAAAUACAUAGGUGGUCAAAUAGAAACACAUGUGCAUUCAUUUGCCUUGUGUAUUGACAACACGUUUGCUGGUGAACAGUGACUACCGGGAGGGCCGUGCUAUGAAGAUGAUCAAACUGAGGCAUGGAGGUUAAAUAAUUUGCCCAAGGCCACAGAGCUGCCGCAGAGCUAGUUUUGACUCUAGCAGCUAUUC
ensembl:lncRNA